AGUGUCUAUCAGCACUGCACAAUGAAGUGGAUUUAACUCUGUCAAGACUUCAUUUAGACCAGUAAUAAGCAUUUUGGCUGUAGAGCAGUGAUCUUUCCUGUUGAUCAAGAAGAAAGGAGUGAUCUCCUGAAGACUGGAGAUGUGGAAACAGCCAGCAUCUCCUGAAGCUACAUAAGAGUACCCAGUGAGCCCCUCCCAAAAGACACCCAAGUAAACUGGCUGAAAAGUGAAAAUGCUUCAAUUUCUCAUUAAGAGGCCUGAUUCUGAGAGUUCUCAACUCCCGCUGACUGCAAUGGAAGCUGAGGAUGCUCAACAUUACUUGUGAGGAAAGGUGUUCCGUAGGAUGCAGUCAAAUGUAUUGCAUCAGUUCCCGAGUAACACUGACAUACAUCAUCAGUGACUGAGCACGUUAAAGACAAAGCAAGAGAAAAAGUAACAUUUAGGCCUGAG